rnacentral:rRNA from 1 species
CGGGGGGAGCAAGCGUUGUUCGGAUUUACUGGGCGUUAAAGGGCGCGGUAGGCGGUCAGCACAAGUCAGUUGUGAAAUCUCCGGGCUUAACUCGGAAAGGUCAACUGAUAACUGUGCGACUAGAGUGCAGAAGGGGCAACUGGAAUUCGUCGGUGUAGCGGUGAAAUGCGUAGAUAUCGAAGAGGAACACCUGCGGCGAAGGCGGGUUGCUGGGCUGACACUGACGCUGAUGCGCGAAAGCCAGGGAGCGAACGGG